ACAGAUUUCAAGUCCGUGUUCUUUCUCUAUGCUCUCUCAAACACACUCUCCCGCGAUCCCAACCAAAUAUACUCACAAAAAUUCACGUGCUUAAUCAUAAUUUUAUCUCUUAUUCCCAUCUCCAUUGCUCCCAUUAAUCCCUCUAAAUCUCAAAUUCUCCCCUCAAAUUUCAAUCUGAAUUCGAAAUAUUGGAAAACAACUGUUGUCCCUUUUUGUAUCUUAUAUUCUAUUCUCUUUUUGCUUGGAGUACGAAAAUUUUGUUGGAAAGCAUCGUCCUUUUUCAUAUUGGAGCUGCUCGGAGUAAGACUGUGGAAGAGUUUGGUUGGGUUUUAUUGCUCUCAAAGCCGACCAGAAUUGAGUUUUUUGGUUCAAAUUUGAAGAAUUUCGCUGAAAUAAUUGGCUUUCGAUCCUCAGAAUGGGAGGGGGUUUGACGGGCAAGGUAGUUGUACCUUGUCUUUCUUAACAACUUAUCAGCUUGCUUCUGUUGGUUCAGAGCAUUUUCAUAGACUUUUCUUAAGAUUGAUUUUGAAGGAUCUUCAUGGACUAUGGGCUUUCUGAUAGCAGUGGAACAGAUGAUGACCUUCCUCCUUCACAUCAGAACAGGUUUCAAAGAGGGGGUUGUACUGCUGCCGGGAAUGGAAGAUCAGCAGUUAUAGGCUCUGCUCCUUUGCCUAGAAUGCAUGGUGACAUGGAAACACAAAUCCAUCUCAUUGAGCAGGAAGCAUACUGUUCGAUCUUGCGGGCCUUCAAAGCUCAAUCUGAUGCUUUAACUUGGGAGAAGGAAAGUUUAAUUACUGAACUAAGAAAGGAGUUGAGAGUAUCAGAUGAGGAGCAUAGGGAGCUUCUAUUGAGGGUUAAUGCUGAUGACAUGAUUCGGAGGAUAAGGGAAUGGAGAACGGCAAGUGGCCUCCAGCCUGGAAUGCUUAGUACAAGUCAGCCUAUGCUUGACCCUGUACCUAGUCCUUCAGUAUCAGGAUCACGCAAGAAGAUGAAAACAUCACAUUCAGUAGCUUCAUUAUCCAUGGGUGCACCAUCUCCUGCAUUGCAUCCAUCUAUGCAACCAUCUUCAUCAGCCUCAAGACGAGGUCCUAUGCCAGGAGCAAAGAGCAAGAAGUCAAAAUCUUUGAUGCAGCAUCCUUCCAGAGGCCUUCCUGGAAAGCCCCAGGCUCCUAAUCGUACCUCAACAGGAGCAUUUGCCGCAAAUGUACCUGCUGAAGCUGCACCAUAUGAUCCAUUAAUUGGAAGGAAAGUUUGGACAAGGUGGCCUGAAGACAACCAUUUCUAUGAGGCCGUUAUAACAGACUAUAACUCAGUUGAGGGGCGGCAUGCUUUGGUUUAUGAUAUAAAUACUGCGGAUGAAACCUGGGAAUGGGUCAAUCUCAAAGAGAUAUCUUCUGAAGAUAUUAGAUGGGAAGGUGAUGAUCCUGGAAUAUCCCGUAGAGGUGGCCGCCCUGGUCCAGGCCGUGGGAUUAAGAAGUCCAUGGCUUGCGGUGGCGGGGUGGCUGGAGCUGGAAGAGGUAGGGGGAGUUUAAAGGGUCAGGCUAAAAAAGAUUUUCCUUUGAUGCAAAAUGGUGUUGGAAAAAAGGUUUUGGCGGAUAUUGAGAUACUUCAUACAGAUACUCUAAUUAAGGAGGUGGAAAAAGUUUUUGGUGCAAGCCACCCUGAUUCCAUAGAAAUUGAGAAAGCAAAGAAAGUGCUGACAGAGCAUGAACAAGCCCUAGUUGAUGCAAUUGCGAGACUUGAAGGUGCAUCUGACGGUGAAAGUGCAGAUGGAGAGCAUCCGUUCUCACAAGGACAGUAAUGGAUCAAGAAAGAGCAUGGAGAAAACGGCAGUACAAUGAUGAGAUGGGUGAGGGUAGAAUAAUUGAAGGAUCUGAUGGCGCAAUCAAAUGACGAGCGUAGGUUUUGGGUAGCGAAUAACCAGCUUAGUAUAUCCAGUAUAAAUAGCUGUAGCCGUGGCCUUAGCAGUGACUGAAUGAAGUACUUUUUGUAGUGGCCAUUUCUUUGGUUCCUAAUCUUAGCAGGCUAUUGUAACUUUAAUCUAAACGUAGUGUAGGUAAAUGCUUUGUAUAAAGUUUUAAAAUAUAUUACUGGUGAUAUCCCUGAGUGCACUGCUGACUAUGUAAAAAGUUUAUUAUAUUCAUUUUGUUUGCAGCCAAGUUCAGUGGAA